GGACUACCCGGGUUUCUAAUCCCAUUCGCUACCCACGCUUUCGUGUUUCAGCGUCAGGAAUGUGCCAGUGAAUUGCCUUCGCAUUUGGUGUUCCCCAUGAUAUCAACGGAUUUCACCCCUACACCAUGAGUUCCAUUCACCUCUCACAUCCUCUAGUUUUGCCGUUUCUUUUGCGGACCCCCGGUUGAGCCGAAGAAUUUCACAGAAGACUAACAAAACCGCCUACACACCCUUUACGCCCAAUGAUUCCGGAUAACGCUUGGAGCACUCGUAUUACCGCGGCGGCUGGCAC
rnacentral:rRNA from 1 species